AUCGUCGCUGGACAUCUUCUCGCCAAGACCCGCCAGGUGACGAACAGAAACCACAUACGAGGCCGACGACUCCAGGCGAGCGGGCUGCUGACCGCGAAGCCAAACCGGAAGAUGGGGCGCAGGUAGAUGUGGCACUUGGGUGGGGAUAGAUCACGUG
rnacentral:ncRNA from 1 species